rnacentral:rRNA from 1 species
GACGAACGCUGGCGGCGUGCUUAACACAUGCAAGUCGAACGGAAAGGCCCUGCUUGCAGGGUACUCGAGUGGCGAACGGGUGAGUAACACGUGGGUGAUCUGCCCUGCACUUCGGGAUAAGCCUGGGAAACUGGGUCUAAUACCGGAUAGGAGCCAUUUUUAGUGUGAUUGUUGGAAAGUUUUUUCGGUGUAGGAUGAGCUCGCGGCCUAUCAGCUUGUUGGUGGGGUAAUGGCCUACCAAGGCGGCGACGGGUAGCCGGCCUGAGAGGGUGGACGGCCACAUUGGGACUGAGAUACGGCCCAGACUCCUACGGGAGGCAGCAGUGGGGAAUAUUGCACAAUGGGCGCAAGCCUGAUGCAGCGACGCCGCGUGGGGGAUGACGGCCUUCGGGUUGUAAACUCCUUUCGCUAGGGACGAAGCUUUUUGUGACGGUACCUAGACAAGAAGCACCGGCUAACUACGUG